GGACGGAAGGCGUGGAAGCGGGAGGGGCCUUCGUGUGAAAAUCCCUUGUGGGGUUUGGUGUUUCACUUUUUAAAGGCAUACAACUUAGGAUUCAUAACUACAUAUAUACGGAUAGAAGUGCAUGAACAGAAAAUCUGCCCUUCUGGAAUACCAAAUGCAAAAUUAAAGUGACUACAAGCAGAAUUUGGAGAAAAAAAUAAAAGAUGCAAUAUAGUUUUUAAAAUCAUUGUUAAAAUAUAAUGAGUCUGUACUUUGCUUAAACAAUAAAAAAGUCUUCGAUUUAUAAAAAAAAAAAAA
rnacentral:lncRNA from 1 species